GACGAACGCUGGCGGCGUGCUUAACACAUGCAAGUCGAACGAAGUGGCGAACGGGUGAGUAACGCGUAAUCAACCUGCCCUUCAGGGGGGGACACCAGUUGGAAACGACUGCUAAUACCGCAUACUGAAGGAGGGGAUUGCGUCUGAUUAGCUAGUUGGGGGGGUAACGGCCCACCAAGGCGAGGAUCAGUAGCCGGGCUGGUAGGAUGGACGGCCACAUCGGGACUGGGACACGGCCCAGAACCCUACGGGAGGCAGCAGGUGGGAAACUUCCGCAAUGGACGAAAGGCUUACGGAGCAACGGCGCGUGAGUGAUGACGGCCUUCGGGUUGUAAAACUCUGUUAAUCGGGACGCGGUACCGGAAUAGAAAGCCACGGCUAACUACGUGCCAGCAGCCGCGGUAAUAC
rnacentral:rRNA from 1 species